GACGAACGCUGGCGGCGUGCUUAACACAUGCAAGUCGAGCGGAGCGGCGAACGGGUGAGUAACGCGUGAGUAACUGCCCCCCUCUCUGGGAUAACAGUUGGACACGGCUGCUAAUAACGGAUAGUGGGGGAUGACUCGCGUCCUUUCAGCUUGUUGGUGGGGUAGUGACAUUCCAAGGCGACGACGGGUAACCGUCCUGAGAGGUGGACCGGCCACAUUGGACUUCUAGACCACCCAAACUCCUACUCUAGGCAGCAGUGGCGAAUAUUGCACAAUGGGGGAAACCCUGAUGCAGCAACGCGCGUGCUUGAUGACGGCCUUCGAGUUGUAAACCGCUUUCAGCCAUAACGCGGUAGUGACCGAAGAAGCACCGGCUAACUACGUGCCAGCAGCCGCGGUAAUAC
rnacentral:rRNA from 1 species